rnacentral:rRNA from 1 species
GCAGUCGACGAUUCCUACGGGAGGCAGCAGUUAGGAAUCUUGCGCAAUGGGCGAAAGCCUGACGCAGCGACGCCGCGUGCGGGAUGACGGCCUUCGGGUUGUAAACCGCUUUCAGCAGGGACGAUUGUGACGGUACCUGCAGAAGAAGCCCCGGCCAACUACGUGCCAGCAGCCGCGGUAAUACGUAGGGGGCAAGCGUUGUCCGGAUUUAUUGGGCGUAAAGAGCUCGUAGGCGGUUUGGUAAGUCGGGUGUGAAAUCUCCACGCUCAACGUGGAGGGGCCACUCGAUACUGCCAUGACUAGAGUCCGGUAGAGGAGUGUGGAAUUCCCGGUGUAGCGGUGAAAUGCGCAGAUAUCGGGAGGAACACCCGUAGCGAAGGCGGCACUCUGGGCCGGAACUGACGCUGAGGAGCGAAAGCGUGGGGAGCAAACAGGAUUAGAUACCCUGGUAGUCCACGCCGUAAACGUUGGGCACUAGGUGUGGGGAUCUAUCGACGGUUUCCGUGCCGAAGCUAACGCAUUAAGUGCCCCGCCUGGGGAGUACGGCCGCAAGGCUAAAACUCAAAGGAAUUGACGG